rnacentral:rRNA from 1 species
AAUUGGAGGGCAAGCUCUUGGUGCCAGCAGCCGCGGUAAUUCCAGCAUCCAAUAGCGUAUAUUAAAGUUGGUUGCAGUUAAAAAGCUCGUAGUUUGAAUUUCGGGAUCAAUAUUUCGGUCAUGCCGUUGGUAUGCACUGAUUAUCAUUGAUUUCUCACCUUCUAAAGAACCGUAAUGCCAUUAAUUUGGUGUUACGGGGAAUUAGGACUGUUACCUUGAAAAAAUUAGAGUGUUUAAAGCAGGCUCACGCUUGAAUACAUUAGCAUGGAAUAAUGAAAUAGGACAUCCGAUUCUAUUUUGUUGGUUUCUAGGAUCGAUGUAAUGAUUAAUAGGGAUAGUUGGGGGCAUUAGUAUUCAAUUGUCAGAGGUGAAAUUCUUGGAUUUAUUGAAGACUAACUACUGCGAAAGCAUUUGCCAAGGAUGUUUUCAUUAAUCAAGAACGAAAGUUAGGGGAUCGAAGACGAUCAGAUACCGUCGUAGUCUUAACCAUAAACUAUGCCGACUAGGGAUCGGAUGAUGUUAAUUUUUUAAUGACUCAUUCGGCGCCUUACGGGAAACCAAAGUGU